rnacentral:rRNA from 1 species
UACGUAGGGUGCGAGCGUUGUCCGGAAUUAUUGGGCGUAAAGAGCUCGUAGGCGGUUUGUCGCGUCGGCCGUGAAAUCUCCACGCUUAACGUGGAGCGUGCGGUCGAUACGGGCAGACUUGAGUUCGGUAGGGGAGACUGGAAUUCCUGGUGUAGCGGUGAAAUGCGCAGAUAUCAGGAGGAACACCGGUGGCGAAGGCGGGGUCUCUGGGCCGAUACUGACGC